AGACGGGGGGUGCUAGCGUUAUUCGGAAUCACUGGGCGUAAAGGACGCGUAGGCGGGUUGGCAAGUCAGAUGUGAAAUCCUACAGCUUAACUUUAGAACUGCAUUUGAAACUGCUAACCUAGAGUAUGGGAGGGGGAGAUGGAAUUAGUGGUGUAGGGGUAAAAUCCGUAGAUAUCACUAGGAAUACCGAACGCGAAGGCGAUCUCCUGGAACAUAACUGACGCUAAGGCGUGAAAGCGUGGGGAGCAAACAGGAUUAGAAACCCCAGUAGUCC
rnacentral:rRNA from 1 species